UGGGGGAAUAUUGGGGCAAUGGGCGCAAGCCUGACCCAGCAACGCCGCGUGAAGGAAGAAGGCUUUCGGGUUGUAAACUUCUUUUCUCAGGGACGAAGCAAGUGACGGCACCUGAGGAAUAAGCCACGGCUAACUACGUGCCAGCAGCCGCGGUAAUACGUAGGUGGCAAGCGUUAUCCGGAUUUACUGGGUGUAAAGGGCGUGUAGGCGGGGAAGCAAGUCAGAUGUGAAAACCAUGGGCUCAACUCAUGGCCUGCAUUUGAAAACUGUUUUCUUGAGUACUGGAGAGGCAGACGGAAUUCCUAGUGUAGCGGUGAAAUGCGUAGAUAUUAGGAGGAACACCAGUGGCGAAGGCGGUCUGCUGGACAGCAACUGACGCUGAGGCGCGAAAGCGUGGGGAGCAAAACAGGAUUAGAUACCC
rnacentral:rRNA from 1 species